CCUACGGGAGGCAGCAGUGGGGGAUAUUGCACAAUGGGGGAAACCCUGAUGCAGCGACGCCGCGUGGGUGAAGGAGUAUUUCGGUAUGUAAAGCCCUAUCAGCAGGGAAGAACAAUGACGGUACCUGACUAAGAAGCACCGGCUAAAUACGUGCCAGCAGCCGCGGUAAUACGUAUGGUGCAAGCGUUAUCCGGAUUUACUGGGUGUAAAGGGAGCGCAGGCGGCGCGUUAAGCCUGGUGUGAAAGUCCGCGGCCCAACCGCGGGACUGCAUUGGGAACUGGCGCGCUGGAGUGCCGGAGGGGUAGGCGGAAUUCCUAGUGUAGCGGUGAAAUGCGUAGAUAUUAGGAGGAACACCAGUGGCGAAGGCGGCCUACUGGACGGUGACUGACGCUGAGGCUCGAAAGCGUGGGGAGCAAACAGGAUUAGAUACCCGGGUAGUC
rnacentral:rRNA from 1 species